rnacentral:rRNA from 1 species
ACAAUGAAGAGUUUGAUCCUGGCUCAGGAUGAACGCUAGCGAUAGGCUUAACACAUGCAAGUCGAGGGGCAUCAGGAGUAGCAAUACU